CGCGGCCUAUCAGCUUGUUGGUGGGGUAACGGCCCACCAAGGCAUCGACGGGUAGCUGGUCUGAGAGGACGGUCAGCCACACUGGGACUGAGACACGGCCCAGACUCCUACGGGAGGCAGCAGCGGGGAAUAUUGCGCAAUGGGCGAAAGCCUGACGCAGCAACGCCGCGUGAGGGAUGAAGGCUCUCGGGUUGUAAACCUCUUUCAGCAGGGACGAUUGUGACGGUACCUGCAGAAGAAGCCCCGGCCAACUACGUGCCAGCAGCCGCGGUAACACGUAGGGGGCGAGCGUUGUCCGGAUUUAUUGGGCGUAAAGAGCUCGUAGGUGGUUCGGUAAGUCGGGUGUGAAAACUCUGGGCUCAACUCAGAGACGCCACCCGAUACUGCUGUGACUUGAGUCUGGUAGGGGAGUGUGGAAUUCCCGGUGUAGCGGUGAAAUGCGCAGAUAUCGGGAGGAACACCAGUGGCGAAGGCGGCACUCUGGGCCAGAACUGACACUGAGGAGCGAAAGCGUGGGUAGCGAACAGGAUUAGAUACCCUGGUAGUCCACGCCGUAAACGUUGGGCACUAGGUGUGGGUCUCAACCAACGGGAUCCGUGCCGCAGCUAACGCAUUAAGUGCCCCGCCUGGGGAGUACGG
rnacentral:rRNA from 1 species